UACAGAGGUGGCAAGCGUUGUUCGGAAUUACUGGGCGUAAAGGGCGCGUAGGCGGCCAUCUAAGUCAGACGUGAAAUCCCCCGGCUUAACCUGGGAACUGCGUCUGAUACUGGACGGCUUGAGUAUGGGAGAGGGAUGUAGAAUUCCAGGUGUAGCGGUGAAAUGCGUAGAUAUCAGGAGGAACACCAGUAGCGAAGGCGGCUCUCUGGGCCGGUACUGACGCUGAGGAGCGAAAGCGUGGGGAGCGAACAGG
rnacentral:rRNA from 1 species